rnacentral:rRNA from 1 species
AUUGAACGCUGGCGGCAGGCCUAACACAUGCAAGUCGAACGAGUGGCGGACGGGUGAGUAAUGUCUGGGAAACUGCCUGAUGGAGGGGGAUAACUACUGGAAACGGUAGCUAAUACCGCAUACCAUCGGAUGUGCCCAGAUGGGAUUAGCUAGUAGGUGGGGUAACUGCUCACCUAGGCGACGAUCCCUAGCUGGUCUGAGAGGAUGACCAUCCACACUGGAACUGAGACACGGUCCAGACUCCUACGGGAGGCAGCAGUGGGGAAUAUUGCACAAUGGGCGCAAGCCUGAUGCAGCCAUGCCGCGUGUAUGAAGAAGGCCUUCGGGUUGUAAAGUACUUGCAGCGGGGAGGCGUUACUCGCAGAAGAAGCACCGGCUAACUCCGUGCCAGCAGCCGCGGUAAUAC